GCGGCAGGCAUAAUGGGUAAUGGAGGCGUUGGUCUGACGUAGAGCAGACGUCGGCUUUUCUUAGUACUGUGUUCAAGAAAUGGCGGCGAGCUCUGGUAGUGCUGGUGACUGGUGUCUCAUCGAAAGCGACCCAGGAGUCUUUACUGAACUAAUAAAAGGAUUUGGUGUAAAAGGCGUGCAAGUUGAAGAGCUGUGGAGCUUGGAUCGAGAGAGUUUUGAUAAACUCAAGCCGGUUCAUGGUCUCAUAUUUCUUUUCAAGUGGUACAGAAACGAUGAACCAGGUGGCUCUAUCGUGCAAGACAAUCGCCUGGAGAAAAUAUUUUUUGCCAAACAGGUGAUCAACAAUGCCUGUGCUACACAGGCGAUACUGAGUGUUUUGCUUAAUGUAAAGCAUCCCGAUAUAUUUCUGGGUGACACGUUGAACUCUUUCAAAGACUUCUGUCAGAGCUUUGAUGCCACUAUGAAAGGCCUUACCCUGAGUAACUCUGAUGUUAUACGAGAAGUGCACAACAGCUUUUCAAGACAGCAGAUGUUUGAGUUCGAUAUAAAGCAAAGUUCAAAAGAUGAUGAUGUUUAUCACUUCAUUGGCUAUGUACCAAUUGAUGGACGCCUAUAUGAGCUGGAUGGUCUGAAGGAAGGACCCAUUGACCUUGGUCCAAUCCCGCAAGGCACUGACUGGAUUGAUACAGUCAGACCAGUCAUUGAAAGCAGGAUAAAAGAAUAUAAUGAAGGGGAAAUUCACUUCAACCUGAUGGCACUUAUCACGGACAGAAAGCUUCUAUACCAGAAGCAGUUGGACAGCAUGAAUGCCCAGUUGUCUUCUGGUGGGAUGGAAACUGAUGAUGUCCAGUCUGAAAUAAGCAAGCUGCACAUGCUCAUCCAGGAAGAAGAGAAUAAGUGCAAGCGGUACAAGAUGGAGAACAUCAGACGGAAGCACAACUAUUUGCCACUUAUCAUGGAGAUUCUGAAAAUCCUUUCGGAAGAGAAGAAGCUUGUGCCUCUAGUAGAAAAGGCAAGGGAAAAAGUCCUAGAAAAGAAGAAACAAGGUGAAAAAUUGAAAUAUUUCGCAGGAAGUUUCAGGGAGGCCCAAUCAUGAAACUAUUGCUUUAAUGUAAAGCACAUUGACAAGGUCAUGGACAUAGUCACAGUGCUCUCGAGAUCUGCUUGCUGGCUGUCGUUGCACUCCACGGUGGUGGUUACUGCUGGGAUCACUCACUCAGCAAGUCAUCAGAACUAGAGGGAAAUCUUGUAUCCUUAUGUACUUCACGAGUCUCUGUUACAGCCACUUUUUUGUGUUUCAGCAACUCUCACUAUUCUUUAUUCAGCUUUAAGCACGUUUGCAGUUCCACUUAUAUUUGUUUCAACUACUAAGAUUGUCAGGCUUUCAGUUCAUUUUCUGCCAAAUUUUCAACUCAAAUAUGUCUUGAAUAUCAGUUUCAGGUCAAUCAAUAUAUCACACUGAAAAAAGAAGAGACAGGACUAGAACCUAAUGCAGCUUGACAGGGGCCCUGCCCCCUUUGACCAAUGGCAGGACAUUGCAGUAAUAUAAAGAAUAAGCACAAUGCACUUGAAACAAAAUAAUUUACGAGACAAAAUACAAUUUCAAUCAAAAAGAAGAAAGUAUGUAUGCAAAAAUAUUUAUAAAUGCAGUUAAAAACGCCAAUUAAUAUCUAGAAUGAAUAGUACCAUGAUUCUUCCGCAGAAAAUUAUUUUUGUAAUAGAGCCCUAUCAUCAGCAUUUGACAAUUAUGAAUUAGUAAGGCUCUACAAGCAAGCCACAAAUUCAGUGCAACAUUACUCAGAGGAUGAUCAUUGAGAGAUACAUGAAUAUACUAGCCAAUAUCAAUGUCUAUAUAUGUA